UGAAUUUUUAUCAGCACUAGCUGGGAUUGCGAUUGUAUAAUGAGUAGUUGCCUCUGUAUUACCUCUGACUUUAUGUCUCUUUCGAGGUCUGCUGUAUUUCUGUCUCCUGUGGUGAAUUUACUGCUGUGACCUCUGCGGAAUGGAUCGUAGAUCAAGAAUGGCUGCCAAUACCUGUCUGUGACACGAGGCCCUAACUUUGAGAACUUGCAAUCCUGAGGUGGUGGUGAGACCCUCUGCUGGACAGAAGGAGCCGCUGUCCGUGUGCCCUGGCCUCCAGUUCUCGAGGUGUCAUCACUGCGUGUAUAUUAUUCUGAGUGCUGGGAAACUUGGUUAUCUGCUUAGAAAAUCCAAUAAAACCAG
rnacentral:lncRNA from 1 species